rnacentral:rRNA from 1 species
GACGCUGGCGGCGUGCUUAACACAUGCAAGUCGAACGGUGACGGAGAGCUUGCUCUCCUGAUCAGUGGCGAACGGGUGAGUAACACGUGGGCAACCUGCCCCAGACUUCGGGAUAACGCUUCGAAAGAGGUGCUAAUACCGAAUACGAACCUCCCUGGCAUCUGGGAGGUUGGAAAGUUUUUCGGUCUGGGAUGGGCCCGCGGCCUAUCAGCUUGUUGGUGAGGUAACGGCUCACCAAGGCGACGACGGGUAGCCGGCCUGAGAGGGCGACCGGCCACACUGGGACUGAGACACGGCCCAGACUCCUACGGGAGGCAGCAGUGGGGAAUAUUGCGCAAUGGGCGAAAGCCUGACGCAGCAACGCCGCGUGAGGGAUGACGGCCUUCGGGUUGUAAACCUCUUUCAGCAGGGAAGAAGCGAAAGUGACGGUACCUGCAGAAGAAGCACCGGCUAACUACGUG